rnacentral:misc_RNA from 1 species
UUAACUAUUAUAUAGUACUCAGACGACACUAACAUUCAGAGUUUGGGGUCCUCUGGCAGGCACGUACCAGCCGGGGCCGGUAGCCAGGACAGAGCCUAGCGGCCUGCCAAAGCAACAAAGGUAUAAAUACACAAGGGUGGGAGGUCUACCCCGAAGGGCAUGAACUCUGUAAUGAUCCUUCCGCAGGUUCACCUACGGAAA